AAUGUUUCAUGAAAUGUUUGUAACUCGUCUUCUUCUAAUUCUUUUUCAUAUUCACUCCGCUCGUAAAAUUUUCUUAAAAUCCUAGAAACUGCGCCUAUGUUUUUCCUCUCAAAAAUAAUUAAACUUUGCAGUCAUCUUCUCCUGGUCAUGGUAUCAAUAUCGUAAAUUGGUUUUACUAAAAGUAUAUGACUUUGUAUACAAAUAAAGACGUCUAAGCUGUAUGAAUUGGUAUUGAUGAAUGAAGUACAAGAUAAAGUCAUAAGUAAACGACGUUAGCUAUACAAUAAUAUCAUUCUUCUUUGCGGGAUUUCUGACAGAGCGAAUACUGUCAAUACGUGAGCAAUGAACUUAUACUGUCAAUACGUGAGCCAUGAACUUAUACUGUCAAAAGGUGAGCCAUGAACUUAUACUUCCAAUACGUAAGCAAUAAACUUAUACUGUCAAUACGUAAGCAAUGAACUUAUACUGUCAAUACGUAAGUAAUGAAC
rnacentral:lncRNA from 1 species